GGAUGAACGCUGGCGGCGUGCCUAAUACAUGCAAGUCGAGCGAACAGACGAGGAGCUUGCUCCUCUGACGUUAGCGGCGGACGGGUGAGUAACACGUGGAUAACCUACCUAUAAGACUGGGAUAACUUCGGGAAACCGGAGCUAAUACCGGAUAAUAUAUUGAACCGCAUGGUUCAAUAGUGAAAGACGGUUUUGCUGUCACUUAUAGAUGGAUCCGCGCCGCAUUAGCUAGUUGGUAAGGUAACGGCUUACCAAGGCAACGAUGCGUAGCCGACCUGAGAGGGUGAUCGGCCACACUGGAACUGAGACACGGUCCAGACUCCUACGGGAGGCAGCAGUAGGGAAUCUUCCGCAAUGGGCGAAAGCCUGACGGAGCAACGCCGCGUGAGUGAUGAAGGUCUUCGGAUCGUAAAACUCUGUUAUUAGGGAAGAACAAAUGUGUAAGUAACUAUGCACAUCUUGACGGUACCUAAUCAGAAAGCCACGGCUAACUACGUG
rnacentral:rRNA from 1 species